rnacentral:rRNA from 1 species
GGGUCAGUAGGUUGGUCGUGCCACCGGUACGUACUGGCCUCACUGAUUCCUCCUUCCUGAAGAACCGUAAUGCCAUUAAUUUGGUGUUGCGGGGAAACAGGACUGUUACUUUGAAAAAAUUAGAGUGUUUAAGGCAAGCUAACGCUUGAAUACAUUAGCAUGGAAUAAUGAAAUAGGACGAUCGAUCCUAUUUUGUUGGUUUCUAGGAUUGACGUA